AUUGAACGCUGGCGGCAGGCCUAACACAUGCAAGUCGAGCGGAUGAAGGGAGCUUGCUCCUGGAUUCAGCGGCGGACGGGUGAGUAAUGCCUAGGAAUCUGCCUGGUAGUGGGGGAUAACGUCCGGAAACGGGCGCUAAUACCGCAUACGUCCUGAGGGAGAAAGUGGGGGAUCUUCGGACCUCACGCUAUCAGAUGAGCCUAGGUCGGAUUAGCUAGUUGGUGGGGUAAAGGCCUACCAAGGCGACGAUCCGUAACUGGUCUGAGAGGAUGAUCAGUCACACUUGAACUGAGACACGGUCCAGACUCCUACGGGAGGCAGCAGUGGGGAAUAUUGGACAAUGGGCGAAAGCCUGAUCCAGCCAUGCCGCGUGUGUGAAGAAGGUCUUCGGAUUGUAAAGCACUUUAAGUUGGGAGGAAGGGCAGUAAGUUAAUACCUUGCUGUUUUGACGUUACCAACAGAAUAAGCAUCGGCUAACUUCGUG
rnacentral:rRNA from 1 species